AUGGCCGGUUUUAACACUGACAUUGGUGCUUUCCUUGAUAGUUUCUCUGUGCUGUCGACAGAAGGUUCGAUGGCUCGUUCGAUCAUCCACAACGAUGCCGUCUCUGGGGAGACUUUCGUCCCAGGCCAAAUUUUCAUAUUCGGCGGCUUCGCACUACGUGCCAACUCGACUGGCCACCUUGAGCAGAUCGACAGCUACGCCCCCGGCCGUCAGAUUAGUUUCCUAAAUCUGAACUAUGUCGCUGAUAUCCCAGGAGACUUGAUCUUCGAAGGGUUCGCGGGCCUGACCGUCGCUCUGGCCUUAGAUCCAGAGCAGACUACCAGGUCCGAAGACAGGAGUUUAGAGCCUGCCGGACUCCGUGCAAUUAUGGAACUUGCUACCGGAGAUCUGGAGGGGACUGCAUCAUCGGAAAACCCGAAGACAAACCAGGCUCCCCUUGUCGCUGAAGUGCCGGACUCCCCCUCGGACUCCAGAUCCAAAUUCUCGAGGUCCGCGUCAAGCGUGCGUGGCCAGGAGGUUCUCACCCCUGCCGCCCCGCCGGACUCUCGCUUCCCUGUACAAACCUCGCUACUAAACGAGGCUCUGGACUUAAUGUGA
rnacentral:rRNA from 1 species